rnacentral:rRNA from 1 species
AUUGAACGCUGGCGGCAGGCCUAACACAUGCAAGUCGAGCGAGCGGCGGACGGGUGAGUAAUGUCUGGGAAACUGCCUGAUGGAGGGGGAUAACUACUGGAAACGGUAGCUAAUACCGCAUCCCAUCAGAUGUGCCCAGAUGGGCUUAGCUAGUAGGUGGGGUAACGGCUCACCUAGGCGACGAUCCCUAGCUGGUCUGAGUGGAUGACCAGCCACACUGGAACGGAGACACGGUCCAGACUCCUACGGGAGGCAGCAGUGGGGAAUAUUGCACAAGGGGCGCGAGCCUGAUGCAGCCAAGCCGCGUGUGUGAAGAGGGCAUUGGGGUUGUAAAGCACUUUCAGCGGGGAGGCGUUACCCGCAGAAGAAGCACCGGCUAACUCCGUGCCAGCAGCCGCGGUAAUUC